rnacentral:rRNA from 1 species
GACGAACGCUGGCGGCGCGCCUAACACAUGCAAGUCGAACGGAGUCAAGAGGAGCUUGCUUUUCUUGACUUAGUGGCGAACGGGUGAGUAACGCGUGAGUAACCUGCCCUGGAGUGGGGGACAACAGUUGGAAACGACUGCUAAUACCGCAUAAGCCCACGGAUCUGCAUGGAUCUGCGGGAAAAGGAUUUAUUCGCUCUAGGAUGGACUCGCGUCCAAUUAGCUAGUUGGUGAGGUAACGGCCCACCAAGGCGACGAUUGGUAGCCGGACUGAGAGGUUGAACGGCCACAGUGGGACUGAGACACGGCCCAGACUCCUACGGGAGGCAGCAGUGGGGGAUAUUGCACAAUGGGGGAAACCCUGAUGCAGCGACGCCGCGUGGAGGAAGAAGGUUUUCGGAUUGUAAACUCCUGUCGUUAGGGACGAUAAUGACGGUACCUAACAAGAAAGCACCAGCUAACUACGUG